AUAAAUUAAACGCUCCAGGUGUGAUACGCCUCACCUGUAUACCGCCCCAGACGUGUAGCACAUUUCCCAGCAGCAGAGCUACAUGAUCACUCCGCGCAGGAGCCGCCAUCAGCCGCGAGUCAGAGUCCGGUAACUCGGGAUGAGGUGGAUCAUUAUCCUGAGAAUUCAAGGCAUGAUGGGAUGCCACUCCGAAACAAGGCACGAUGUACACAUCCAGGCAUUCACCUCUAGGGUCAAUGUAAGAGUAGCCAGCCCACCUACAGAUGUUUUUGGGAGGUAGGAGGAAACCCGUGCAGACAGUAACCCAAGCUGUGGAUGCUGGAGCUAUGAGGAUUGCAAGGAGCCUGGAGCCUAUGACAGAUGGGGGACACCCUGGAUGGGGUCAUUACCGAAUAUAUAACACUACAUAAUAUAUCAGCAAAAAGUCUGUUUGGGGUUCAUUUAUCCGUUUUCGUUCUAUGUUGAUUUUUUUUUUUUUUAAUAAAUGUUUCCUUAUUUCUUAAGAUUAAAUAUGUAUUUUUAGAAUAUUUGAUUUGAUGACAAAAAAUGAUACAUUUCAUACAUGUUAGGAUACCAUUUUGGUGCAAGGAAUCACAAGUAGUUACAUUUCACUUCAGGUAUUGCUAUUGUCUAAUACUAUACUAUAUACUUUAUAGCGGUGGUUCUCAAAGUGGGGCUAGGGAACUACAGGGGUCCAUGAAGCAUAGCGUCAUAGCAUCUGUGAUUUUUUAUUUUGUUACAGUGGUGGAAAUUAUUCCCAUCAUUAGCAAAGUUAUUAUAUUUAUUAUUGAGCUUUGAGAACAUUUGACCGGUCAAUUGUCCUUACAUGCUUAUGGUCAAAAAUGUGCAUGAGAGAGUGGCAAUGUUUGAGCCUGAUUUUGCUGAUUAGCAGAUAAAAGGUACAUUAAGCAGAGAAAAAAAAAUCUGUAACAAAGCAUAAAAGUAUUUCAACUGUACUUAGUGUACCCUAAUGUACUGACAUCUGCUGCACAUUUAUGUCAGACAAUGAUAGGUGUAAUUUAUCUCAGAAAGAAUGAUCUGCAGACAUUAAAAAUACAUCAUUCUGGUUUCCUCCCAGCUGUCAUCAUCCUCAACAUUAUCAUCAUCAUCAUCAUCAUCAUCAUCAUCAGUGCAGAAUAGGUCUCAGUCAAGGACAAAAAAAGUA